rnacentral:rRNA from 1 species
AUUGAACGCUGGCGGCAUGCCUUACACAUGCAAGUCGAACGGUAACGGGCCUUCGGGUGCCGACGAGUGGCGAACGGGUGAGUAAUACAUCGGAACGUGCCCGAUCGUGGGGGAUAACGAGGCGAAAGCUUUGCUAAUACCGCAUACGAUCUACGGAUGAAAGCAGGGGACCGCAAGGCCUUGCGCGGACGGAGCGGCCGAUGGCAGAUUAGGUAGUUGGUGGGAUAAAAGCUUACCAAGCCGACGAUCUGUAGCUGGUCUGAGAGGAUGAUCAGCCACACUGGGACUGAGACACGGCCCAGACUCCUACGGGAGGCAGCAGUGGGGAAUUUUGGACAAUGGGCACAAGCCUGAUCCAGCCAUGCCGCGUGCAGGAUGAAGGCCUUUGGGUUGUAAACUGCUUUUGUACGGAACGAAAAGCCUUCUUUUAAUACAGGAGGGUCAUGACGGUACCGUAAGAAUAAGCACCGGCUAACUACGUG